rnacentral:rRNA from 1 species
GACGAACGCUGGCGGCGUGCUUAACACAUGCAAGUCGAACGGUGACGGAGAGCUUGCUCUCCUGAUCAGUGGCGAACGGGUGAGUAACACGUGGGCAACCUGCCCAGACUUCGGGAUAACGCUUCGAAAGAGGUGCUAAUACCGAAUACGAACGCCGUGGGCAUCCACGGUGUUGGAAAGUUUUUCGGUCUGGGAUGGGCCCGCGGCCUAUCAGCUUGUUGGUGAGGUAAUGGCUCACCAAGGCGACGACGGGUAGCCGGCCUGAGAGGGCGACCGGCCACACUGGGACUGAGACACGGCCCAGACUCCUACGGGAGGCAGCAGUGGGGAAUAUUGCGCAAUGGGCGAAAGCCUGACGCAGCAACGCCGCGUGGGGGAUGAA